GGGUUGUGAGGUUAAGCGACUAAGCGUACACGGUGGAUGCCCUGGCAGUCAGAGGCGAUGAAGGGCGUGCUAAUCUGCGAUAAGCGCCGGUAAGGUGAUAUGAACCGUUAUAACCGGCGAUACCCGAAUGGGGAAACCCAGUGUGAUUCGUCACACUAUCAUUACGUGAAUACAUAGCGUAAUGAAGCGAACCGGGGGAACUGAAACAUCUAAGUACCCCGAGGAAAAGAAAUCAACCGAGAUUCCCCCAGUAGCGGCGAGCGAACGGGGAGGAGCCCAGAGCCUGAAUCAGCAUGUGUGUUAGUGGAAGCGUCUGGAAAGGCGCGCGAUACAGGGUGACAGCCCCGUACACAAAAGCGCAUGUGCUGUGAGCUCGAUGAGUAGGGCGGGACACGUGGUAUCCUGUCUGAAUAUGGGGGGACCAUCCUCCAAGGCUAAAUACUCCUGACUGACCGAUAGUGAACCAGUACCGUGAGGGAAAGGCGAAAAGAACCCCGGCGAGGGGAGUGAAAAAGAACCUGAAACCGUGUACGUACAAGCAGUGGGAGCCCCACCACUAAGCCAGUGGUGAACUCCACAUACGCAUCCUUUGCUGAGGAUACGGUUAACGGAGCGAAAGCGACGUUCAACCGCAAAAGAAGCAGAGGGGGCUUAGUGGUGGGGUGACUGCGUACCUUUUGUAUAAUGGGUCAGCGACUUAUAUUCUGUAGCAAGGUUAACCGAAUAGGGGAGCCGCAGGGAAACCGAGUCUUAAUUGGGCGUUAAGUUGCAGGGUAUAGACCCGAAACCCGGUGAUCUAGCCAUGGGCAGGUUGAAGGUUGGGUAACACUAACUGGAGGACCGAACCGACUAAUGUUGAAAAAUUAGCGGAUGACCUGUGGCUGGGGGUGAAAGGCCAAUCAAACCGGGAGAUAGCUGGUUCUCCCCGAAAGCUAUUUAGGUAGCGCCUCGUGAAUUCAUCUCCGGGGGUAGAGCACUGUUUCGGCUAGGGGGCCAUCCCGGCUUACCAACCCGAUGCAAACUGCGAAUACCGGAGAAUGUUAUCACGGGAGACACACGGCGGGUGCUAACGUCCGUCGUGAAGAGGGAAACAACCCAGACCGCCAGCUAAGGUCCCAAAGUCAUGGUUAAGUGGGAAACGAUGUGGGAAGGCCCAGACAGCCAGGAUGUUGGCUUAGAAGCAGCCAUCAUUUAAAGAAAGCGUAAUAGCUCACUGGUCGAGUCGGCCUGCGCGGAAGAUGUAACGGGGCUAAACCAUGCACCGAAGCUGCGGCAGCGACGCUGAUGCGUUGUUGGGUAGGGGAGCGUUCUGUAAGCCUGUGAAGGUGUGUCGUGAGGCAUGCUGGAGGUAUCAGAAGUGCGAAUGCUGACAUAAGUAACGAUAAAGCGGGUGAAAAGCCCGCUCGCCGGAAGACCAAGGGUUCCUGUCCAACGUUAAUCGGGGCAGGGUGAGUCGACCCCUAAGGCGAGGCCGAAAGGCGUAGUCGAUGGGAAACGGGUUAAUAUUCCCGUACUUGGUGUUACUGCGAAGGGGGGACGGAGAAGGCUAUGUUGGCCGGGCGACGGUUGUCCCGGUUUAAGCGUGUAGGUGUGUGUUCCAGGUAAAUCCGGUUCACUUUAACACUGAGGCGUGAUGACGAGGCACUACGGUGCUGAAGCAACAAAUGCCCUGCUUCCAGGAAAAGCCUCUAAGCAUCAGGUAACAUCAAAUCGUACCCCAAACCGACACAGGUGGUCAGGUAGAGAAUACCAAGGCGCUUGAGAGAACUCGGGUGAAGGAACUAGGCAAAAUGGUGCCGUAACUUCGGGAGAAGGCACGCUGACACGUAGGUGAAGUGAUUUACUCACGGAGCUGAAGUCAGUCGAAGAUACCAGCUGGCUGCAACUGUUUAUUAAAAACACAGCACUGUGCAAACACGAAAGUGGACGUAUACGGUGUGACGCCUGCCCGGUGCCGGAAGGUUAAUUGAUGGGGUCAGCGCAAGCGAAGCUCCUGAUCGAAGCCCCGGUAAACGGCGGCCGUAACUAUAACGGUCCUAAGGUAGCGAAAUUCCUUGUCGGGUAAGUUCCGACCUGCACGAAUGGCGUAAUGAUGGCCAGGCUGUCUCCACCCGAGACUCAGUGAAAUUGAACUCGCUGUGAAGAUGCAGUGUACCCGCGGCAAGACGGAAAGACCCCGUGAACCUUUACUAUAGCUUGACACUGAACAUUGAGCCUUGAUGUGUAGGAUAGGUGGGAGGCUUUGAAGUGUGGACGCCAGUCUGCAUGGAGCCGACCUUGAAAUACCACCCUUUAAUGUUUGAUGUUCUAACGUGGACCCGUAAUCCGGGUUGCGGACAGUGUCUGGUGGGUAGUUUGACUGGGGCGGUCUCCUCCUAAAGAGUAACGGAGGAGCACGAAGGUUGGCUAAUCCUGGUCGGACAUCAGGAGGUUAGUGCAAUGGCAUAAGCCAGCUUGACUGCGAGCGUGACGGCGCGAGCAGGUGCGAAAGCAGGUCAUAGUGAUCCGGUGGUUCUGAAUGGAAGGGCCAUCGCUCAACGGAUAAAAGGUACUCCGGGGAUAACAGGCUGAUACCGCCCAAGAGUUCAUAUCGACGGCGGUGUUUGGCACCUCGAUGUCGGCUCAUCACAUCCUGGGGCUGAAGUAGGUCCCAAGGGUAUGGCUGUUCGCCAUUUAAAGUGGUACGCGAGCUGGGUUUAGAACGUCGUGAGACAGUUCGGUCCCUAUCUGCCGUGGGCGCUGGAGAACUGAGGGGGGCUGCUCCUAGUACGAGAGGACCGGAGUGGACGCAUCACUGGUGUUCGGGUUGUCAUGCCAAUGGCACUGCCCGGUAGCUAAAUGCGGAAGAGAUAAGUGCUGAAAGCAUCUAAGCACGAAACUUGCCCCGAGAUGAGUUCUCCCUGAGACUUAGAGUCUCCUGAAGGAACGUUGAAGACGACGACGUUGAUAGGCCGGGUGUGUAAGCGCAGCGAUGCGUUGAGCUAACCGGUACUAAUGAACCGUGAGGCUUAACCUUACAACGCCGAAGCUGUU
rnacentral:rRNA from 1 species